rnacentral:rRNA from 1 species
UACGGAGGGUGCGAGCGUUUGUCCGGAAUCACUGGGCGUAAAGGGCGCGUAGGUGGCGCGGAAAGUCAACGGUGAAAGCUUGGGGCUCAACCCCGAGUCGGCCGUCGAUACUUCUGGGCUGGAGCACUGUAGAGGCAGGUGGAAUUCCGGGUGUAGCGGUGGAAUGCGUAGAGAUCCGGAAGAACACCGGUGGCGAAGGCGGCCUGCUGGGCAGUUGCUGACACUGAGGCGCGACAGCGUGGGGAGCAAACAGGG